UAUAGAAGAACAAGGCGGCACACAAGGAGCUGCCUGAAUUGCAGUGGCAGCGGUGUUGUAAUAUGCUUACAGUAUUUCAGGCCUCUAUUCCAGCACACACAUUCCAGUUGCCAUUGGUGAGCAAAUGAGAUAUGAAGUUACCAGUGAUUUUCAUUAUACAUGGUAAAAAUAAUGCAAAUCAUGCUUUAUGGAGAGUUGAAAUACUGACUAUUGAUCGGAGAAAAUUUAUUGGUGACAACUACCCAAGAACAUUGAGAAUAGCGCCAGAAAUUCCUUUUGCUGAUAUCACAAAUUUUGUGCCAUGGUCCAUAAAGAGAACAAGUGCUGGUGUGUGUUCCGAUCCAGUAAAUUUUCUUCAUGUGCCACACAAGUGGAGACGACUCUGCUUUUUUACCAUGAUCUUGAGGGUUAUGAGCUUUAUGACAAUAAUGACUCUCAAGUUCAGCAAGAGCUCGUACAAAAGAUAUGGAAAGUGUUUGAGACUAUACUAGAAGAG